AGACUUUGAUCUAUAGCUGAUCUGAGAGGAUGAUCAGCCCAUUGGGACUGAGACACGGCCCAAACUCCUACGGGAGGCAGCAGUAGGGAAUAUUGCACAAUGGAGGAAACUCUGAUGCAGCGAUGCCGCGUGAGUGAAGAAGGCCUUUGGGUUGUAAAGCUCUUUCGUCGGGGAAGAAAAUGACUGUACCCGAAUAAGAAGGUCCGGCUAACUUCGUGCCAGCAGCCGCGGUAAUACGAAGGGACCUAGCGUAGUUCGGAAUUACUGGGCUUAAAGAGUUCGUAGGUGGUUAAAAAAGUUGGUGGUGAAAUCCCAGAGCUUAACUCUGGAACUGCCAUCAAAACUUUUUAGCUAGAGUAUGAUAGAGGAAAGCAGAAUUUCUAGUGUAGAGGUGAAAUUCGUAGAUAUUAGAAAGAAUACCAAUUGCGAAGGCAGCUUUCUGGAUCAUUACUGACGCUGAGGAACGAAAGCAUGGGUAGCGAAGAGGAUUAGAUACCCUCGUAGUCCAUGCCGUAAACGAUGUGUGUUAGACGUUGGAAAUUUAUUUUCAGUGUCGCAGCGAAAGCAUUAAACACACCGCCUGGGGAGUACGACCGCAAGGUUAAAACUCAAAUGAAUUGACGGGGACCCGCACAAGUAGUGGAGCAUGUGGUUUAAUUCGAAGAUACGCGCAGAACCUUACCAACACUUGACAUGUUCGUCGCGACUCUAAGAGAUUAGAGUUUUCGGUUCGGCCGGACGAAACACAGGUGCUGCAUGGCUGUCGUCAGCUCGUGUCGUGAGAUGUUGGGUUAAGUCCCGCAACGAGCGCAACCCUCACUUUUAGUUGCCAUCAUUUAGUUGGGCACUCUGAAAGAACUGCCAGUGAUAAGCUGGAGGAAGGUGGGGAUGACGUCAAGUCCUCAUGGCCCCUACGUGUUGGGCUACACA
rnacentral:rRNA from 1 species